CGUGGGUAACCUGCCUUAUAGUGGGGGAUAGCCUUUCGAAAGGAAGAUUAACACCGCAUAAGAUUGUAGUAUCGCAUGAUAUAGCAAUUAAAGGAGCAAUUCGCUAUAAGAUGGACCCGCGUCGCAUUAGCUAGUUGGUGAGGUAAUGGCUCACCAAGGCGACGAUGCGUAGCCGACCUGAGAGGGUGAUCGGCCACAUUGGGACUGAGACACGGCCCAGACUCCUACGGGAGGCAGCAUG
rnacentral:rRNA from 1 species